rnacentral:rRNA from 1 species
UACGAAGGGGGCUAGCGUUGCUCGGAAUCACUGGGCGUAAAGCGCACGUAGGCGGGCUCUUAAGUCGGUGGUGAAAUCCUGGAGCUCAACUCCAGAACUGCCUUCGAUACUGAGAGUCUCGAGUCCGGGAGAGGUGAGUGGAACUGCGAGUGUAGAGGUGAAAUUCGUAGAUAUUCGCAAGAACACCAGUGGCGAAGGCGGCUCACUGGCCCGGUACUGACGCUGAGGUGCGAAAGCGUGGGGAGCGAACAGG